CUUCUAUCAGAAUUUCUGUUAGAAGGGGGUUUGCGUUUUAUCUUUUGCCGUAGGCGACACCCUCACCUGCCUC
rnacentral:tRNA from 1 species